CCUAAACUACCCUUCAUCCCCAACUGAUCUCUCCCUCUCCCCUCCUCCUCCAUCUGAGCUCAGAAGAGAUCUCUCCCUCUCCCCUCCUCCUCCUCUUCCCUCCCUUCACUUCCCCUCCUCCCUCAAGCCCAUCAACCUCUGCAUCCACUGCCCCUAUCUCCCCUCGCCGCCACGUCACCCACCACCGUCGACCUUGAAGUAGAUGAAUAGCCCACCAAUGAUUUCGACAUUGACUCCCUGUAGUUCGCCCAUCAACCUGAAGCACUUGUCAUUGCCGCCAGUGGACGGAGCUUGAGGAGCACUCGGAGUAAUGGCGGAGGUCGAAGACCGCCUGGCUUUGUAAGGAGCUGCUUUCGCAUAAGCCGACGACGAUGGUGAGGAUCCUUGGCGCUCAAAGGAAGUGGGUUCGGCAGAAGGAGGUGGGUUAUGUUGUUCUCCAUUGCAAGUCAGCCUGUCCGUGAUCGCUUCAAAAAUAACGCUGAUGCCAAAAAGCUAUUGGAAAAAGUGAAGGUAACCUUUACUUGAUGCUCAAUUGCUCAUAAGAUAUGUACAUUCAUGAGAUAUCAACCAUGACUUACAUAACUAUGGUUCCUCUCUGGACAUUAUGUUUUAAAAUUAGAACUAUAGUUCUUGCUUGCAUUUAUGAAUAGAAUUUUCCUUAGAGUUGAUGAUUGAUGUGAAAAUCCUCCCUCUUUUUGCAAGCGUACAAAGUUACUAGGUGAUUAUUCUUACUUGUUGGUGUUGGGAAUGGUGACGAGUUGUAACAUAAAAAUUCUAAUUUUCUUAUUGCUUGGUGGUCCUUCAGAUUCUUAUUGUUCUUGUGGGUUUUGAUAAUUCGAAGCAUUACGACAUCAAAAUCGAUAUUACUUUCAUGUAUUUUGAUUUGGAAAUGCACGAUAAGUUAGAAUUGAUAUUGCAUAAAAGCUUAUAGAUGAUUCCUUUGAAAGUGGUAUGAAGCCUCUUAUGCUAGCAUUUCUCGAUAUUACUUUCAUGUAUUUUGCUUUGGAAAUGCACGAUAAGUUAGAAUUGACAGUUAAUAAAAUUUUCUUAUCAUGCAAUCAUUGAUUGUGACAUUUAUUUGUGCAGGAGCGUAGAUUGUAACAUUUUUAUGGUGGGAUACAUAUAUUCCAUCAUCAAUGGCACACCUAACGUAACGCACAGCUACCCCUCAAUCAGAAACCAUUCGUCAAUGCACACUAACUUUCCAAUCAAAUACAUGAGAGAAUCCCCCACUAUUGGCAUUCGAUCAGAUCUUCGCAUUGCUGUCACAUUGCAACCCAAACGGCAAAUCAACUACAGCCUGCAAUAUGAUGUACCAAGUAGUAUCCAAUGUAUCGUGUUGUAUGAAAUUUUCUAUAUUAUGUAUAUAUAGAUGAUUUGUGUGCAUAUUGUAUCAAAUGCACUAUCCAAUGUAUCAUGUUGUAUCAAAUUUAUCAGUGUAACUAGUAGAAAUGUAUCUAGUAGAAA